rnacentral:rRNA from 1 species
GAGUUUGAUCUUGGCUCAGAACGAACGCUGGCGGCAUGCCUAACACAUGCAAGUCGAACGAGACCUUCGGGUCUAGUGGCGCACGGGUGCGUAACGCGUGGGAGUCUGCCCUUGGGUUCGGGAUAACAGUUGGAAACGACUGCUAAUACCGGAUGAUGUCUUCGGACCAAAGAUUUAUCGGCAAGGGAUGAGCCCGCGUAGGAUUAGGUAGUUGGUGGGGUAAAGGCCUACCAAGCCGACGAUCCUUAGCUGGUCUGAGAGGAUGAUCAGCCACACUGGGACUGAGACACGGCCCAGACUCCUACGGGAGGCAGCAGUGGGGAAUAUUGGACAAUGGGGGGAACCCUGAUCCAGCAAUGCCGCGUGAGUGAUGAAGGCCUUAGGGUUGUAAAGCUCUUUUACCAGGGAUGAUAAUGACAGUACCUGGAGAAUAAGCUCCGGCUAACUCCGUGCCAGCAGCCGCAGUAAC